UCUUUCAGAUGAAUACAAUCUAAGUUAUUUAAAAAAAUGUCCUGCCUCUUCCAAGGUUUAUAAUGGCAUGAAUGGUGAAUGGGUGUUAUUUUUUAA